AUUGAACGCUGGCGGCAGGCUUAACACAUGCAAGUCGAACGAGUGGCGGACGGGUGAGUAAUGCUUGGGAAUCUGGCUUAUGGAGGGGGAUAACUACGGGACACUGUAGAUAAUACCGCGUACCAUAGGAUGAGCCCAAGUGGGAUUAGGUAGUUGGUGGGGUAAAGGCUCACCAAGCCGACGAUCUCUAGCUGGUCUGAGAGGCGGACCGGCAAAAAUGGGACUGAGACACGGCCCAGACUCCUACGGGAGGAAGCAGUGGGGAAUAUUGCGCAAGGGGGGAAACAUGACGCAGCAAUGCCGCGUGAAUGAAGAAGGCCUUCGGGUUGUAAAGUUCUUUCUGUAGCGAGGCGUUAACUACAGAGAAAGCACCGGCUAACUCCGUGCCAGCAGCCGCGGUAAUAC
rnacentral:rRNA from 1 species